rnacentral:rRNA from 1 species
GAUGAAUGCUGACAGAAUGCUUAACACAUGCAAGUCGAUGGGGAAGUGGUGCUUGCACCCUGGUAACCAUGGCGGACGGGUGAGUAACGCGUAAGGAACUUGCCUGCGGGACUGGGAUAACAGCAGGAAACUGCUGAUAAUACCGGAUAAGGUCAUUAAGCUGCAUAGCUUAGUGAUGAAAGGAGACGCCUGCGGAGAGCCUUGCGUCCUAUUAGCUAGUUGGAGGGGUAACGGCCCACCAAGGCGAAGAUAGGUAGCCGGCCUGAGAGGGUGGACGGCCACAAGGGGACUGAGAUACGGCCCUUACUCCUACGGGAGGCAGCAGUGGGGAAUAUUGGACAAUGGGGGCAACCCUGAUCCAGCAAUUCUGUGUGCACGAAGACGGUUUUCGGAGUGUAAAGUGCUUUCAGCAGGGAAGAAGGAAGUGACGGUACCUGCAGAAGAAGCGACGGCUAAAUACGUG